UACGUAGGGUGCAAGCGUUAAUCGGAAUUACUGGGCGUAAAGCGUGCGCAGGCGGUUUUGUAAGUCAGAUGUGAAAUCCCCGGGCUUAACCUGGGAACUGCGUUUGAAACUACAAGGCUAGAGUGUGACAGAGGGGGGUGGAAUUCCGCGUGUAGCAGUGAAAUGCGUAGAUAUGCGGAGGAACACCGAUGGCGAAGGCAAUCCCCUGGACCUGUACUGACGCUCAUGCACGAAAGCGUGGGGAGCAAACAGG
rnacentral:rRNA from 1 species